rnacentral:rRNA from 1 species
AGAGUUUGAUCCUGGCUCAGGAUGAACGCUGGCGGCGUGCCUAAUACAUGCAAGUCGAGCGAACGUCAUAGAAGCUUGCUUCUAUGACGUUAGCGGCGGACGGGUGAGUAACACGUGGGCAACCUGCCUGUAAGACUGGGAUAACUUCGGGAAACCGAAGCUAAUACCGGAUAGGAUCUUCUCCUUCAUGGGAGAUGAUUGAAAGAUGGUUUCGGCUAUCACUUACAGAUGGGCCCGCGGUGCAUUAGCUAGUUGGUGAGGUAACGGCUCACCAAGGCAAUGAUGCAUAGCCGACCUGAGAGGGUGAUCGGCCACACUGGGACUGAGACACGGCCCAGACUCCUACGGGAGGCAGCAGUAGGGAAUCUUCCGCAAUGGACGAAAGUCUGACGGAGCAACGCCGCGUGAGUGAUGAAGGCUUUCGGGUCGUAAAACUCUGUUGUUAGGGAAGAACAAGUACAAGAGUAACUGCUUGUACCUUGACGGUACCUAACCAGAAAGCCACGGCUAACUACGUGCCAGCAGCCGCGGUAAUACGUAGGUGGCAAGCGUUAUCCGGAAUUAUUGGGCGUAAAGCGCGCGCAGGCGGUUUCUUAAGUCUGAUGUGAAAGCCCACGGGCUCAACCCGUGGAGGGUCA